GACGAACGCUGGCGGCGUGCUUAACACAUGCAAGUCGAACGGAAAGGCCCUGCUUUUGUGGGGUGCUCGAGUGGCGAACGGGUGAGUAACACGUGAGUAACCUGCCCUUGACUUUGGGAUAACUUCAGGAAACUGGGGCUAAUACCGGAUAGGAGCUCCUGCUGCAUGGUGGGGGUUGGAAAGUUUCGGCGGUUGGGGAUGGACUCGCGGCUUAUCAGCUUGUUGGUGGGGUAGUGGCUUACCAAGGCUUUGCCGGGUAGCCGGCCUGGGAGGGUGACCGGCCACAUUGGGACUGAGAUACGCCCCAGACUCCUACGGGAGGCAGCAGUGGGGAAUAUGGCACAAUGGGCGGAAGCCUGAUGCAGCAACGCCGCGUGCGGGAUGACGGCCUUCGGGUUGUAAACCGCUUUCGCCUGUGACGAAGCGUGAGUGACGGUAAUGGGUAAAGAAGCACCGGCUAACUACGUG
rnacentral:rRNA from 1 species